GGAUUAGAUACCCUGGUAGUCCACGCCGUAAACGAUGAUCACUCGAUGUCAGCGAUAUACUGUUGGUGUCUUAGCGAAAGUUUUAAGUGAUCCACCUGGGGAGUACGUUCGCAAGAAUGAAACUCAAAGGAAUUGACGGGGGCCCGCACAAGCGGUGGAGCAUGUGGUUUAAUUCGAUGAUACGCGAGGAACCUUACCUGGGCUUAAAUGUAGAGUGCUUUUUCUGGAAACAGAUUUUUCUUCGGACGCUCUACAAGGUGCUGCAUGGCUGUCGUCAGCUCGUGCCG
rnacentral:rRNA from 1 species